rnacentral:tRNA from 1 species
GGGGUGGUAGCUCAGUGAUAGAGCGCCUACCUCGCAUGUGUGAGGCACUGGGUUUGAUCCUCAGCACCACA